UACGUAGGGAGCAAGCGUUGUCCGGAAUCAUUGGGCGUAAAGCGCGCGUAGGCGGCCCUGUAAGUCCGUUGUGAAAGUCAAAGGCUCAACCUUUGAAAGCCGAUGGAUACUGCAGGGCUAGAGUCCGGAAGAGGCGAGUGGAAUUCCGUGGUGUAGCGGUGGAAUGCGCAGAUAUCAGGAGGAACACCAAUAGCGAAGGCAGCUCGCUGGGACGGUACUGACGCUAAGGCGCGAAAGCGUGGGGAGCGAACAGG
rnacentral:rRNA from 1 species